rnacentral:pre_miRNA from 1 species
AAUAGGAUAACCAAAAAUCAGAUUUUUCCUCCUGAUUUUCAAUUUUUUUUCUCUUGAAAAAAUUCAAAUCCAACUGAAAAUGCUAAAAAUCGAAAGGAAAAAUCUGAUUUGUCAAUCUCCUAUU